CGAACGCUGGCGGCAGGCCUAACACAUGCAAGUCGAGCGCUUCCCUUCGGGGAGGAGCGGCGGACGGGUUAGUAACGCGUGGGAACGUACCCUUUUCUGCGGGAUAGCCAUUGGAAACGAUGAGUAAUACCGCAUACGCCCUUCGGGGGAAAGAUUUAUCGGAGAAGGAUCGGCCCGCGUUAGAUUAGAUAGUUGGUGGGGUAAUGGCCUACCAAGUCUACGAUCUAUAGCUGGUUUGAGAGGAUGAUCAGCAACACUGGGACUGAGACACGGCCCAGACUCCUACGGGAGGCAGCAGUGGGGAAUCUUAGACAAUGGGCGCAAGCCUGAUCUAGCCAUGCCGCGUGAGUGAUGAAGGCCUUAGGGUCGUAAAGCUCUUUCGCCUGUGAAGAUAAUGACUGUAGCAGGUAAAGAAACCCCGGCUAACUCC
rnacentral:rRNA from 1 species